CCAGCUCUUAACUGAAAGAUUGUUCAGGCUGUGAUAGAUGGCGUAUGGACUCUAAAGAGCUUUUCCCAGUUCUCUUCACUUCCUCCGCUGGCCUGUUUUGGGCACGUUGCCUGUUUCGCUUUGCACUGUUCCUGGGCAAGGAAGACGUCCUUUAAAUAAUUAUUGAUUCUGAUAUUUCCAGCAUAAUUUCUUCUUAUUGAUUUUUCCUGCUAGCUUCAGGGCUCAUUCUUGCACAUAGAAGCUUUCUAUAGCCAUCUAGCAUACCGAGAGCUUUGAAAGACCAAAAGCAUGUCAUAUCCUUUUCUUCUUAGUCAUAUCAAAUGAGAUUUUAAGCUUACCUUUACAGUACUUUACAACUGAGAGUGGAUUUUUUCCCCCUUUGCCUGCAUUGAAAGCCCCAGGCUUAUAAACUGUCCAGGAACUUCUCUGAAGGAAGCAGAUCGGCCUAUAUUUUUAGUUUGCUGUGGAUGUGAAUGGCAGCUGGCAAAAUUACAGAGGUCACAGAAGAGGGGGAAAGAAGGCCUUGCAUAUGGUCAGGACCGCAUAAGAUUUUAAGGCAGAUUUUUAACAUCCACGGUUUAUCUGCCACUACAAUGGUGACGUUUCACAUUGAUAUAAGCCUUUGAGUUUCCAUUAUAAACAGGUCAUGUUAGGACCCCGUGUUAAAGCUGGUCACAUUUUGAAACUUCCUGGUGAGGAAAGCACGUGAAUGUUUUGGGAAAACGUUGGCCAAAACAUUACUGCUUUUUAACUUGUCCUACUUACCCAGCUUUGGUGAUGCACAACUCAGCCUCAAAUGUUCUUCUACCUCUUCAGCCUGGUGGUCUCACGCAAAGUGCUCUGGGGAUAUCAGGAUCUUCUUACAGGUGCCCCAUAAGCACAGACACUGUGUUUGGAAGGACACAACCUGCUGUGCAGUCAUCACUGCAACCUGCUGGGGAUGAGUGUGGUGGGAACAUCAGGGGUGGUAAAGACAGCAAACACCCAUACUUGGUUGCAAUUUUGAUCUGUUAGCAUGCUGUAGUACUGGAGUCUGCUUAAAAUUCAUAGCACUCUCCUAAAGCUGCUAUAAAAGGAGCCUACAACUCUCCCUACAUUUUUCCGUACUCCUUUGUUUGUUUGUGAAAUGCUGAUUUCAACUAUAUACUGAGUUUCCUCCUUAGCGCUUUCACCUUUGCCGUUAGUCUAAUAUGCUCCAGGCUGCUUCCACCAGCCCAACCUUUAUUUUCAAUGGAAAAGGUAGUGCACAUAAGACCAGGUACCCCGAUCCCAAACAGAGUUAUGGUGUAUAAAAAUGAAUUAAUCAGUGGGCUAGAAUUCUAGCUCAUGGUUACUAAGGCACCAGUGGUCAUGACCUGAUUAUGUGCAAGAUAAAC
rnacentral:lncRNA from 1 species